CUUGCUGCCCCGCCUUGCUUCAGGCAUCACAGCAGGGCAGAGACGGAGAAUCUGCACAUGAGCGAGUGUGUCACACGCCGUUCAGGUGUGUGUGUGUGUGUGUGUGUGUAAAUGUGGUUCUAUGGGGGGGUUCCUCCACCACAUUGACAGACAAUGAAGCAGGAGGAGGACCACGUGACCUCGCAUCGUCAGCUAUUUGAGUGUCAUCAGAGGAGCUGGGUAAUGGUCUCUAAAGCACCAUUUCACCGUGAACCUGGCAGCGCCGCCGUCCAAAAAACAUCUGGUGCGCUGCUGAGAGCGUCCGUGGUGCCAGGCACGCAACAUCAAGACCGCACAACACGAGAAGCCCUCGCCAGGCCCGGUCCAGCGCAGACGACGCACUUCAAGAAUAAUCGGAAUAACAACGAGUACAGCGGGUGCAAAGGCACGUGUCCUCUUUCACGUCCACCUUCAUUUACAAUCAUGACAGCAAGAUAUGAGGUGUGGUCGUGUGUUUCAGAAGAAUCAGAAUUCUGAUCCUGAUAUGAGGUGUGGUCGUGUGUUUCAGAAGAAUCAGAAUUCUGAUCCUGAUAUGAGGUGUGGUCAUGUGUUUCAGAAGAAUCAGAAUUCUGAUUCUGAAUCUACUGAUCCUGAUAUGAGGUGUGGUCGUGUGUUUCAGAAGAAUCAGAAUUCUGAUCCUGAUAUGAGGUGUGGCCGUGGGUUUGUGCAGCUAAAUGUGGGUAUUUUCAUGAAUUUGUGUGUCAUAUUUAGUACCUUUGUGCCUGUUUUCUCCUUCCUUUGUGAGUCUUUACAUGAAAGAGCUUGAUAUGGGAGCGUAAUACUCUCUCUCUCUCUCCCUGUAUCUCACUGCCUUCCACAAUGACAUGACUGACCUCUAGUGACGACUGCCAGUACACUGCCUGCCUCAUGAACUUUCCUGACUAGACACACCUCAGUUUCAUUCCGAACUUGUCCUCACUGCAGGAACACGUCACCAUGUUUACCCGUCUUACGUUGUUCUUCUGGUGGUCUGGGCCUGCGCUCUGAUGCUCCUCCUGCAGCUCCCUGCAUCAUUUCCACCUUUUGAUGAUCUAGGCUGGUCGAUAUUAAACGUAUCGCAUCAGCAGCAUAAAACAAUCGUAUUUUGCUCAGAAGAUCUGUAUAUCGUGAUAGACUGUGCACAUUAUAGUGUUUUUGUAGAAACCACUUCUGGGCGGAACAGCGCCUCUACCUGCGUGGAGUGCAGGACGGUUCCUACACUGAACGCACCACGUUGCAACGGGACGCUUUACCGCUCGUGCUGCAGUAAAACUGCCUCUUUCUCCCAUUAACUCCUGUAUGUCUGAUGGACAUGUUCUGGUGGACAUGUUCUCCUUGCGUCUUCCGCCAUGCAAAUCCGUACCCUGUCGUGCUAAUGAAAUAACCAAUUACCAUAAAAUGAAGGGGUCCAGUUAUCGUACAUUAUGGGAUUUUUUGGAAUUAUUGAUUGUACAGAGGGCAAAAAUUAUGGUAUAAAUAUGAUAAUUAUCAUACGUCUGGCAACACUUAUAAGUGCAUGUUGGAACUACCUCAAUUCAAUGUAUUUUUUAACAAAAGUUGCCAUUUAUAAGUUUUGAGACCAAUAAUCCCCCAAAUUUCUCAAAAUAGUGCAAAUAAUAAUGAAUUGGGAGUGAGUAGCGAUUCAUUAAAGCUGCGUGCGCUGGACUGAACACGUAAUAGUGGAUGAGCUGUAAUGAGUGGAACCGGGUACGCGGUCCUAUCCAUACAUUACCGCCCAAUACUUUACUAAUUAAAGGAAACAGAUUGAAUUGGAGGCUCGGAACGCCUUGAUUAGAGGUUGAGGCUGGACGGUGUGGUGAAAAUACAUCUGCUACCGUGAUGAAUUUGAGAGGGUAAGACGAGAUUGUCAGAGUGCAGACGUCAGAAGGCCCGGGGCGAAAGUUGAGAUGGACCUAGUUGGGUUGAGUACAGAACCCGUCCGACCUCAGUCGAGGAGGAGGAAUAGGACCCCUGUUUCUCAGGUGGGGUCCAUCCUCUUGGAGAAACCCUAGCCUCCAUCACAGGAAAGAGAAACAGAUGUGAACUGGAAAUCAGAGCUUGUGACUGGCAUCUGCCAUUUGGCCCCAGCGGGGCCUUCGACGUCUUUCAUCUGCUGACCGUCUGCUUGAUUCGGACCAAACUCGUGGAACUGUGCUGCAACCAAUCACCGCUAAAUCAAACCUGGAUCACUAGCACAACACUUGCAAUAUGACAACGACAACAACACAAAGUUGUCCAGUUACUUUGUAGGUCAUUUGUAGGCCGACAAAGGACCCAGAACGGUAAUGUUCUAAAAUGGUUCCAGAGUAAAUUUCUCUUCCACAAACCUAUAACUUCUUCUCUAACCUAUAACCUCGAAGUUUUGCCCGGAAACAACGAGAGCGCCCACCAGUGGUGUGAAACUCAAACCAGCCGCACGUGUCACGGUUGCCAGUCAAGCUACCGUUAGUUUCUGAGUGUAACAUGAAGCCAAUUGGGCCCCGUCAAACCCUGCUGGUCCUUCUGAUUUAAUCCAUUUUAGACUUCCAUUCUGUAGACGUUCCAUUCUAGCUGGAGCCGGUACUUUUGUUGCGGCCGUGAGCUCUGGUGGAUCAUUGAAUUUGAUCGGUUUCAAAUAACAUUUGGUGGCUGAAGCAGCCUGAAGGAACUCGGUUGUCGGUUGUAAACAGGGUUUGUUAUCAGCUUUCUGAACAUCACUGGCGUAAGAUUGGACUUCCAUUAUUCUCUGCGGCGAGGAGCGGAGUAUGCUCAGGUUAAUUCCCGAUCUAGCAAGUCUGUACAUUUUGGAAAAGUUUGAUGUUUCAGGUGCCUGCGAGUUUGCUUGGGUGUGAGUGUGCAUGUAGAUUAUUUUAUGGUACACGUUUAAUAUGCUUUAUUUGCACUAAUUAUUGUUUGGAGUUUGUAGAAUUAUGUUAGUAUUUAAACAAAUAUCUAAUCUUACUGACAGAUGGAUGGUCUUACACCCGGGACCCUGGACGGAGGGGCCGUUAGGGGAUUAGAAUGCUCUAAUAAUGUAGUGGGAUAACUGAAAGGCAGAUUAGGGCCCUACAGGACAGACAAUGUCUUCAUAAUGUCCAGAAGUCACAGACUGACGAAUAUUUAGCAUGCAGGCCAGUCCAGAGGUUUAAAUAAAGCAUUUAUGCAUUUGAUCUGAGAUAACUGCUCAAUCAUCCCUGAGCCCCACACACACACACACACUCACACACACUCCUGCCCUAAUAAAGAGCAUGGAAUGAGAGAAGGCAUGUAACUGUACACCAGAUGUACACUGGAAAGCGGAUACGCAGGUCGGGCCACUACUAUUGGGUCUACAGCCGGGUUCUGGUUACUGAGCAUUGUGUCCAGCCCACAUCAUUGAGGAGGACAAGAGUGAGGAGCAGGAUAAAGACAGCCCUGGACCAAACAGCGUCUGGAUUACAGUCCCUCUAAAAGGGUCUCUGGCACACGGGCAGGUCAGAAAGGAGAAUCGGGACACAUGAACAAGGCACCUUGUCACCAGAACGUGGUCAGGCAGAGGUAGCACCGUCCUGCCUGGUCAUCCUGGCAGCGAAAGGGAUGCUGACGCACCGGUCAGGUCCGCUUCUCGUUGAAAUCACAGACGGGGAACCAUCGAUCUAAAGAUGUAUCUGUUUAAGGGACGGGGACACGGAUCAGUCCUGCAGCUAAUCACCAGGGAGAUAUGAAUAGAAAGAAAGGACCAGGAAGAGAAAGCGAAGAGCACCAGGUCUGUAAAUGAGGAGACGUGACGAGGGAAUUGGCUUGAAUCGGGAGUCCACCGUAGAAACUGGACUUCUAUAAUCUGGUAGAAAGAGGGGGGACGAGGAGGCCGACGGGGAGAAACAGCCGGUCGGAUAAAGUGACGUCAGUGGCCUGCUGGAUUGAGGUGUUGAGUCGUGCUGAUUUUAAUCUGAGCUGAUUAAGGAACAGAAGGAAAAAAGCGCUCCUGUCGAGAGACGGGAAGAUACGCUUUUACGCCCGGGAGAGACGGGGGGCAAAGUGAAAGGAGCAGAACAAGACAAAAAUAACCGACGACCACGCCACUAUCUGAAAGAGCCGCCGCACAUAUCUCGAAAACAAGGACAAAGCGGGGAGAUACCACAGAUACGACGGCAAACUACAAAGGACUUAAUACUGCUGGGGGCUCUCGAGAGAACAGAGGGGGGAAAGAGUCUUGAUUCACAUUCCUUCGCCCCCUCUCUCCCCCUCCCUACCCUUCCCAGGAUC
ensembl:lncRNA